rnacentral:rRNA from 1 species
UACGUAGGUGACAAGCGUUGUCCGGAUUUACUGGGCGUAAAGAGCGCGCAGGCGGUCGUUCAAGUCGAGUGUGAAAGCCCCCGGCUCAACUGGGGAGGGUCACGCGAUACUGAUCGACUCGAAGGCAGGAGAGGGUAGUGGAAUUCCCGGUGUAGUGGUGAAAUGCGUAGAUAUCGGGAGGAACACCAGUGGCGAAGGCGACUACCUGGCCUGUUCUUGACGCUGAGGCGCGAAAGCUAGGGGAGCAAACGG